UGCACAAAUUAGAAGGUGACACUAAAUAAAGGAGAAGGGUAUACGGUUGUGAGUGGAUUGAAUGCUAUGGCGCUUCCAUUAACUCCAACUUCCACAUUCGCAUCGCCUAAAGAACCCAACUUUAAAGCACCCCAACAUCCCCUUUAAACCCUAAUUUAUGAGAAGCACGCCCCGUGAAAUAAAUAGACACCCUCCCCUUCUCCUUCUAAUAAACCCCCUCCUUAAAUUCCUGAGGGCAGAUUUCCCAAUUGCCCCAUCUAAUUAACGUAAAAUUAAUGCUCAUGCCAUUGAUUGCCUUAAGUCUUGUUUUUCCCCCUCAAUUCAACCCUCUCACCUUACCUAUUAGAUAUGGCUGACGCAAGAGGAGGGAUUUUCUAGGAUGCAUUUUAUAUUUGAUUUUCUGAUGAACGAUUGUGAUGGCUUUGUUUUUUCCUAUAAAUAUCUUUUCUCAGGCAAUCAUGUGAGAGAUGGAUGCAUGCAUGGAUGGAUUGGAUAUACAGAGAGAAUGCAUGCAUGGAUGGAUAUACACACACGCAAAG
rnacentral:lncRNA from 1 species